GGUGGCGACCGGCGCACGGGUGCGUAACGCGUAUACAAUCUACCUUAUAGAGGGGAAUAGCCCAGAGAAAUUUGGAUUAAUGCCCCAUAGUAUUAUUGAAUAGCAUUAUUUAAUAAUUAAACAUUUAUGGCUGUAAGAUGAGUAUGCGUUCUAUUAGCUAGAUGGUAAGGUAACGGCUUACCAUGGCUACGAUAGAUAGGGGUCCUGAGAGGGAGAUCCCCCACACUGGUACUGAGACACGGACCAGACUCCUACGGGAGGCAGCAGUGAGGAAUAUUGGACAAUGGGCGAGAGCCUGAUCCAGCCAUGCCGCGUGCAGGAAGACGGCCCUAUGGGUUGUAAACUGCUUUUACAGAGGAAGAAACACCCCGACGUGUCGGGACUUGACGGUACUCUGCGAAUAAGGAUCGGCUAACUCCGUGCCAGCAGCCGCGGUAAUACGGAGGAUCCAAGCGUUAUCCGGAAUCAUUGGGUUUAAAGGGUCCGUAGGCGGGACAAUCAGUCAGCGGUGAAAGUCUGUGGCUCAACCAUAGA
rnacentral:rRNA from 1 species